GAUGAACGCUGGCGGCGUGCCUAAUACAUGCAAGUCGAGCGAACAGACGAGGAGCUUGCUCCUCUGACGUUAGCGGCGGACGGGUGAGUAACACGUUGAUAACCUACCUAUAAGACUGGGAUAACUUCGGGAAACCGGAGCUAAUACCGGAUAACAUGUUGAACCGCAUGGUUCAACAGUGAAAGACGGUUUUGCUGUCACUUAUAGAUGGAUCCGCGUCGCAUUAGCUAGUUGGUAAGGUAACGGCUUACCAAGGCAACGAUGCGUAGCCGACCUGAGAGGGUGAUCGGCCACACUGGAACUGAGACACGGUCCAGACUCCUACGGGAGGCAGCAGUAGGGAAUCUUCCGCAAUGGGCGAAAGCCUGACGGAGCAACGCCGCGUGAGUGAAGAAGGUCUUCGGAUCGUAAAACUCUGUUAUUAGGGAAGAACAAAUGUGUAAGUAACUAUGCACGUCUUGACGGUACCUAAUCAGAAAGCCACGGCUAACUACGU
rnacentral:rRNA from 1 species